CCUACGGGAGGCAGCAGUGAGGAAUAUUGGACAAUGGGCGCAAGCCUGAUCCAGCCAUGCCGCGUGCAGGAAGAAGCAUCUAUGGUGUGUAAACUGCUUUUGUACAGGAAGAAACACUCCCUCGUGAGGGAGCUUGACGGUACUGUAAGAAUAAGGACCGGCUAACUCCGUGCCAGCAGCCGCGGUAAUACGGAGGGUCCGAGCGUUAUCCGGAAUCAUUGGGUUUAAAGGGUCCGUAGGCGGUUUAAUAAGUCAGUGGUGAAAUCUGGUCGCUCAACGAUCAAACGGCCAUUGAUACUGUUAGACUUGAAUUAUAAGGAAGUAACUAGAAUAUGUAGUGUAGCGGUGAAAUGCUUAGAUAUUACAUGGAAUACCAAUUGCGAAGGCAGGUUACUACUUAUGGAUUGACGCUGAUGGACGAAAGCGUGGGGAGCGAACAGGAUUAGAUACCCUGGUAGUCCACGCCGUAAACGAUGGAUACUAGCUGUUCGGAGCAAUCUGAGUGGCUAAGCGAAAGUGAUAAGUAUCCCACCUGGGGAGUACGUUCGCAGAAUGAAACUCAAAGGAAUUGACGGCUGAGAGAGCGAGCGACGACGAGGGAGGAGG
rnacentral:rRNA from 1 species